rnacentral:rRNA from 1 species
CAGAACAAAGGGMUGCAAGACMGCAAGGUUUARCCAAUCCCAUAAAUCUGUUMUCAGUUYGGAUCGCAGUCUGCAACUCGACUGCGUGAAGCUGGAAUCGCUAGUAAUCGCGGAUYAGCAUGCCGCGGUGAAUACGUUCCCGGGCCUUGUACACACCGCCCGUCACACCACGAGAGUUUGCAACACCCGAAGUCGGUGAGGUAACCUUUAUGGAGCCAGCCGCCGAAG